UGGGGAAUUUUGCGCAAUGGGGGAAACCCUGACGCAGCAACGCCGCGUGAGUGAUGAAGGCCUUCGGGUCGUAAAGCUCUGUCAGAGGGGAAGAAGUGCAGGGGCGCUAAUAUCGCUUUUGCUUGACGGUACCCUCAAAGGAAGCACCGGCUAACUCCGUGCCAGCAGCCGCGGUAAUACGGAGGGUGCGAGCGUUGUUCGGAAUUAUUGGGCGUAAAGCGCGUGUAGGCGGUUUGGUAAGUCUGAUGUGAAAGCCCCGGGCUCAAC
rnacentral:rRNA from 1 species